rnacentral:rRNA from 1 species
ACGGAGGAUGCGAGCGUUAUCCGGAUUUAUUGGGUUUAAAGGGAGCGCAGACGGGGGAUUAAGUCAGUUGUGAAAGUUUGGGGCUCAACCUUAAAAUUGCAGUUGAUACUGGUUCUCUUGAGUGCAGUUGAGGCAGGCGGAAUUCGUGGUGUAGCGGUGAAAUGCUUAGAUAUCACGAAGAACCCCGAUUGCGAAGGCAGCUUGCUAAACUGUAACUGACGUUCAUGCUCGAAAGUGUGGGUAUCAAACAG